UACGAAGGGGCGAGCGUUGUUCGGAAUUACUGGGCGUAAAGGGCGCGUAGGCGGCCGAUCAAGUUAGAUGUGAAAGUCCUGGGCUUAACCUGGGGACUGCAUUUGAUACUGAUUGGCUUGAAUUCGGGAGAGGAUAGCGGAAUUCCCAGUGUAGAGGUGAAAUUCGUAGAUAUUGGGAAGAACACCGGUGGCGAAGGCGGCUAUCUGGACCGACAUUGACGCGUGAGGCGGCGAAAAGCGUGGGGAGCAAACAGG
rnacentral:rRNA from 1 species